GGGGUCAUAGCUCAGUUGGUAGAGUGUUUGAAUGGCAUUCAAAAGGUCGGGGGUUCGAUUCCCCCUGUCUCCACCA
rnacentral:tRNA from 1 species